ACAGCUCGCUAGCGGAUCUAGUCUGCUGUAUGUAUCUAUGGUGCGCACGUCUGCUAGCGUCUCUGGCUGCUGGAGACCUCGUUUUUGGAGUAAAACACGGUGGAAGCUGAAUUAGUGAGGAUGACUCCUGCUCCUGUCAUCUCUAAGCUCCUCACACAUCUUUACCUGCACAUGAGGAAAAUCACUCCUGUAGAAUGCAGGUAUGUUUGUCAUUAUUAUAAAAAGAUGUUGACUGGUGACCUGUCAGAAACCCAUUAUACAGAGUCAGCCAAAAUAAUGUUUACACACAUCAGGAAAAGGAAAACUUGCAUAAAUAUUUCAAUACCAAAUUUAUUCAGACAUCAGGAGAUAAAUAAAAGUUAUCUUUGGUCUCUACAAUUACAAGAGGUGCUCAAAGUGGAGGCCACUGGCUUCCAGACAUUUCUGUUGUGUUGUAGAUGUCACUUGUUGAUGCUCCAUUCAUGAGAGUAGCGCCAUCUGUUGGGAAAACAUCGUACAACAGGACACAGAGUUAUCGUGAUUUGAUCAAACUUAGAAAGAAGAAUCUAUAUGUAUAGAAGUACUUAUACAAAUGAAAUAUUUAUAAAAGUUUUUCAUUUCCUGAUGUGUGUUUACAUUAUUUUGGCUGAUUCUGACUCUGUGAACUUAAUGAGAAAAAAACUGUCAUUUAAUUGUUGCUCUGAAAGCUUCUUUAAUGAAAACCGGCUGAUGUUCUGCUUUGAAACAAACUGCUGUUGAGGUCUGUGUUUUUUGGUUUAACCCCACAGUUUCUGAAUGAACUGAUUGUUUGUUUUUCCUGAUCAAUGUGGACGUUAUAAUUGAUGGUAACAUUUACUGAUCAUAUAAUCAGCAUGACAAUAUAACAGUAGAACAUUCUGACCACCUGACUAAUACUGUGUUGGUCCCUUUAUGCUGCUAAAACUCCUCUGACCCAGUGGUUCAUCAGAACCUCUGGGGAUGUCCUGUGGAUUCUGUGGAUCCUGUGGGUUGCAGGGUGGGUCCUACCUAGACCAGGCUGAUCCUGGACCAUCCCACAGAUGCUCCAUCAGAUGUGGAUGUGGGGAGUGUGGAACCCAGAUGCACAAUGAGGGACGUCUGCAGAGACUGAGAAAGAGUCUCACCACAUCCUGACAUGAGGAAAAAGACUUCAUUGAAGACUACAAUGAGAAAAACUAUCAGACAGCAGACGGCUGCAUUCAAGGUGAGAUCUGAACAUUUGAUCUGGAACAGGAAUUCAAUAACGGCAGCAUGAGCUUCAUUUCAGUCUGUAGCUGCUGAAUUCAUGGAUGAAUCAUCUGGUACUAGAGAGGAAGACCAUCAAACAUCCACGUCAGCUGAUGGAGGUCCAAGAGUCUCACCCAACAAACGACCUACAGAGUGAAGACCUCCAAUCUGAUUGGACGGCCUCCUAUUCAGCCACGUGUGAACAAAUGCCUCUAAGCUGAUUUGUUUUCUAAAAUCUAGUUUGAGUCCUAAUCUAUGCCUGUGUGUUUGCUUCUUUACACCGCUGUUAACAGUUUAGGCUGUUAGAUUGUUCCAGAUAAGACAAGUACAAGAUUCUUCAGAGCCGUUCUACCACGAGCCUGACAGGAAGAACUCCAACAUCUACUGAAUGUUCCUGUGGUUCCCUCAAGGCUACAGGAGGAGCCCUACGAGGACGAGCCGGUCCACCUGAUGGCGGCCAGUCGCUGCGGUUCAAAGCCAACACCGACUACGUGGACUUCUACUGGACCACACGGAGGCCUUCAAACCGGACCAACAAGUUCAGCGACUCCCCGACUCGUGGGUCUGAGGACGCCGCCGAGCCUCGGUCCAGCCGGCCUCCUGUCUGUGGGUGUUUGAGUGCUGAGAGGUUUGUGGAUGCAUGUGAACGUUCUGUGUUGAAACAGCAGCUUUGGACUCAGUAACGCCGGG
ensembl:lncRNA